rnacentral:misc_RNA from 1 species
UCAUUGAGGUUCACUCCAAUAGCUUGUAUAAGAAUAUCCAUGUGUGUCAGGUCUGAAUCAUUUUACCCUAUAAUGAUAUGAUUGUUAAGGACCCAUAUCUAUUCCUUAUCAACUUAGACAGGAUGCUCUCUGAAGUGUUUUCAGAUUAUCAGUUGGGGAGACAUUGCAUUUCAAGGGGGGCCAGGGUUAGAAGUUAACAGUUAUUCUUGCUUGGGGGCUUACUUUCUUUGGACACAUUGGCUCCACAUCAAUAUGUAACAUCUUGAUCUUUGACUUGAUGUGA